UACGGGGGGAGCAAGCGUUGUUCGGAUUUACUGGGCGUAAAGGGCGCGUAGGCGGCCACCGCAAGUCGACUGUGAAAUCUCCGGGCUUAACCCGGAAAGGUCAGCCGAUACUGCGGGGCUAGAGUGCAGAAGGGGCAACUGGAAUUCUCGGUGUAGCGGUGAAAUGCGUAGAUAUCGAGAGGAACACCUGCGGCGAAGGCGGGUCUCUGGGCAUCUCCUGACGCUGAGGCGCGAAAGCGUGGGGAGCAAACGGG
rnacentral:rRNA from 1 species